rnacentral:lncRNA from 1 species
AAAAAUAAAAGGAUUAUAAACCUGAUCCUCUUCUUUCUCGUGCGAUAGUACUCUCUCUCUGUCUUUUUUCUUUCUCUCUCUGUGGUCGCCGCGCUUGCUAUUGGAUAACUGCCUCUACUGGAGGCUUGUCGAACACCCGAGAUCGUCGCUUGAGUGUGGUUUAGCGCAAGUGAGUCCCUUGUUUCAGGUCGUGACAUAUCAUUGCCGAAAGCCGGUCCGGCCCAUGUUUUCUAGUCGUGACAUAUAUAAUAUUUUAUUGAUAUAUUUGUAUAUCUAUAUAUGUUAGGUAAAUUUUAAAAAGAGCUUU